CUCUCUCACCCUCCCCACGCGUGCUCUCGCCUUCUCAAAAUGAAUAAACUUAAAAAUAUUGUUUUAACGUUUAUUGGUCAAAACAAUUUUUUGCUAAAGCUUAGGUUGUCAUAGUUUCUAGAUUUAUAUCUAAAGCAUUUUAAAGCAUUAGCAAGGUUCAGAUGUGCAUAUUCUUGGCUGUGUUUAGAUUCUGGGGCUGUGCUACACCAUCAAACUGCUGAUGGAUUGACUGCGUUGUCAAAGGUCACUCAUCCUCGAUUUUGCCUUUGACUUUAAAUUUGCUCCUUGUUUGACUCAAGGACUGUUUUGACAAAACCAUUCCCAUCUGGUGACUCUCAGGCGAUCCACAAAAUUAAUUGCGUUUUUAUUCUCACACAACAGGUGCACAAGGCUCAUUGAUUCUCUUUCCGAUAAUUGGUUAGGAGCACAAAAUUUGAACAGGGACGGGAGAUAGCCAAGGAAAGAUUUGUAAAAUAUUUUGGAAAACUUUUAAUUUUAGAAGAGUUGUAGAUUUGCAGAAAAGUUGCUUAGAGAGUAGAGUUUUCCUAUAUCCCGCAUGCAUUCCUGUAUUACCAACAUCUUACACUACUAGUAACGUGUAUUUGUCACAAUUACUGGACCAGUAUUGAUACGUUAUUGUUAACCGAGGUCCAUACUUUAUUUCCUCAGUUUUCCAUUAAUAUCAUUUUUCUGUCCCAGGAUCCCAUCCAGAAUAUGCCGUGUCAUGUUUAGUUACCGUGUCUCCUUAGGCUCCUGGUGGCUGGGACAGCUUCUCAGACUUCCCUUGGUUUAGAUGACGUUGAUAGUUUUGAGCAGUACUGGUCAGGUGUUUUAUACUAUGUCCAUCAAUUGGGAUUUGGCUGUUUUUCGUUUUUGUUUUUAAGUUUUAGUUCACAUGCAGUGCAGUACUGGUUUCGGGAGUAGAAUACAGUGGUUCAUCACUUACAACACCCAGUGCUCAUCACAAGUACCCUCCUUAGUACCCAUCAGCCAUCUAACCCGUCUCCCACCUACCUUCUUCCAUCAACCCAUAGUUUGGUUCUCUCUCUCUCUCUCUCUCUCUCUCUCUCUC